rnacentral:snoRNA from 1 species
GCAGACUCACUCUGCAUUCCAACAGCAGCCCCAGUCUGGGUGCUUUUUUCAUCUGCCAGAGAAACAUCUGGCCGCCGUGUGGGCCUCGACCUGUUGAUGGCACUGCAGCUGGCCGGGGACAGUGGU